UCAGAUGGUCAGGCGACCGCUGCACCAGCAUCAAGCUGCGUGUAGAGGAAAGUCCGGGCUCCACGGAAGGACGGUGCCGGCUAACAGCCGGCGAGGGCAACCUCAGGGAAAGUGCCACAGAAAUCAAACCGCUCAACGGGCCUUCGGGCUUUGGGUAAGGAUGAAACGGCGCGGUAAGAGCGCACCGCUCGGGCGGCAACGUCCGGGGCAUGGUAAACCCCACCGGGAGCAAGACCGAAUAGGAGUGACGCGUCACGUCUGACGUGAUGAAGGGCCCCUCCGCCCUGUCACUCGGGUUGGUUGCAUGAGGUGCGAUGUGAGUCGCGCCCAAGAUGAAUGGUCGCCCCGCCUCGGCGGACAGAACCCGGCUUAUCGACCAUCUGACCCA
rnacentral:RNase_P_RNA from 1 species